rnacentral:ncRNA from 1 species
GCGGCUUAAUUUGACUCAACACGGGGAAACUUACCAGGUCCAGACAUAGUAAGGAUUGACAGACUGAGAGCUCUUUCUAGAUUCUAUCAAAUGUAAAAAUUUCAUAUAAGGAUCAAAGAGUUACACAAAUUUCAGGGGCAUAC